AUCUACGACCAUACCUCCCUGAUCCCAGAAGCUGAGCAGAGUCGGACCUGGCCAGUACUUAGACAGGCGACUGCCUGGGAAUACUGGUGCUGUAAGUU
rnacentral:rRNA from 1 species